rnacentral:rRNA from 1 species
CCUACGGGAGGCUGCAGUGGGGAAUAUUGGACAAUGGGGGCAACCCUGAUCCAGCCAUGCCGCGUGUGUGAAGAAGGCCCUCGGGUUGUAAAGCACUUUCAGUGAGGAAGAACGCCUGGUGGUUAAUACCCAUCAGGAAAGACAUCACUCACAGAAGAAGCACCGGCUAACUCCGUGCCAGCAGCCGCGGUAAUACGGAGGGUGCGAGCGUUAAUCGGAAUUACUGGGCGUAAAGCGCGCGUAGGUGGCUUGAUAAGCCGGUUGUGAAAGCCCCGGGCUCAACCUGGGAACGGCAUCCGGAACUGUCAAGCUAGAGUGAAGGAGAGGAAGGUAGAAUUCCCGGUGUAGCGGUGAAAUGCGUAGAGAUCGGGAGGAAUACCAGGGGAGAAGGCGGCCUUCUGGACUGACACUGACACGGAGGUGCGAAAGCGUGGGUAGCCAACAGGAUUAGAUACCCUAGGAGUC